rnacentral:lncRNA from 1 species
UAAAUUAACAAUUUAACAUAACUUUUGGCGUUGGUCUUCAAGCACUAUUAUCAGAUGUGUUUUUUUUUUUUUUUUUUAAUUUGGGGAAGUUGGGGAGGAGAAGCAGUAUGGUUUGAACUCGGGACCUCACUAUUCACACACAAGAGAUCGCACCAUUUGGUGUCCCCUUGGAGACAUUAUAAGAUGUUCUUAAAAAUCGAACUACAAGGCGAGCAAGAUUCACUGCUUUGCCGUAAUGUAUGCCCAAAUUCUAUUGUUUCAUGCUUUUUUUAGUUCUUUUAAUAUUGAAUUAAUUUUUCCAUUUAUUUUUGUUUUAAAAUUUUUGAUAUUCUUU